GGCUUCACAGCUCAGUUGGUAGAGCAUCACACUAGUAACGCGGAGGUCAUGGGUUCAAAUCCCGUUGUAGUCU
rnacentral:tRNA from 1 species